UGCCUCAGUAACGGCGAGUGAAGCGGCAAGAGCUCAAAUUUGAAAGCUGGCCCCCUCGGGGUCCGCAUUGUAAUUUGCAGAGGAUGCUUCGGGAGUGGCCCCCAUCUAAGUGCUCUGGAACGGGCCGUCAUAGAGGGUGAGAAUCCCGUAUGGGAUGGGGUGUCCGCGACCAUGUGAAGCUCCUUCAACGAGUCGAGUUGUUUGGGAAUGCAGCUCUAAAUGGGUGGUAAAUUUCAUCUAAAGCUAAAUAUUGGCCGGAGACCGAUAGCGCACAAGUAGAGUGAUCGAAAGAUGAAAAGCACUUUGAAAAGAGAGUUAAAAAGCACGUGAAAUUGUUGAAAGGGAAGCGCUUGCGACCAGACUCGCCUACGGGGUUCAGCCGGUAUUCGUACCGGUGUACUUCCCCGUGGGCGGGCCAGCGUCGGUUUGGGCGGCCGGUCAAAGGCCCUCGGAAUGUAACGCCUCUCGGGGCGCCUUAUAGCCGAGGGUGCCAUGCGGCCAGCCCAGACCGAGGAACGCGCUUCGGCACGGACGCUGGCAUAAUGGUCGUAAGCGACCCGUCUUGAAACACGGACCAAGGAGUCUAACAUCUACGCGAGUGUUCGGGUGUCAAACCCGUGCGCGCAGUGAAAGCGAACGGAGGUGGGAACCCUUACGGGUGCACCAUCGACCGAUCCUGAUGUCUUCGGAUGGAUUUGAGUAAGAGCGUAGCUGUUGGGACCCGAAAGAUGGUGAACUAUGCCUGAAUAGGGCGAAGCCAGAGGAAACUCUGGUGGAGGCUCGCAGCGGUUCUGACGUGCAAAUCGAUCGUCGAAUUUGGGUAUA
rnacentral:rRNA from 1 species